rnacentral:rRNA from 1 species
GGCAAGCGUUGUCCGGAAUUAUUGGGCGUAAAGGGCUCGCAGGCGGUUUCUUAAGUCUGAUGUGAAAGCCCCCGGCUCCACCGGGGAGGGUCAUUGGAAACUGGGAAACUUGAGUGCAGAAGAGGAGAGUGGAAUUCCACGUGUAGCGGUGAAAUGCGUAGAGAUGUGGAGGAACACCAGUGGCGAAGGCGACUCUCUGGUCUGUAACUGACGCUGAGGAGCGAAAGCGUGGGGAGCGAACAGGAUUAGAUACCCUGGUAGUCCACGCCGUAAACGAUGAGUGCUAAGUGUUAGGGGGUUUCCGCCCCUUAGUGCUGCAGCUAACGCAUUAAGCACUCCGCCUGGGGAGUACGGUCGCAAGACUGAAACUCAAAGGAAUUGACGGGGGCCCGCACAAGCGGUGGAGCAUGUGGUUUAAUUCGAAGCAACGCGAAGAACCUUACCAGGUCUUGACAUCCUCUGACAACCCUAGAGAUAGGGCUUUCCCUUCGGGGACAGAGU